rnacentral:tRNA from 1 species
GGGGAAAUAGCUCAGUUGGUUAGAGUGCUGGUCUGUCACGCCAGAAGUCGCGGGUUCGAACCCCCCUUUCCCCG